UACAGAGGGUGCAAGCGUUGUUCGGAAUUACUGGGCGUAAAGCGCGUGUAGGUGGCGAUGUAAGUCGGGUGUGAAAUCCCUCGGCUCAACCGAGGAAGUGCACUCGAUACUGUGUCGCUUGAGUGUUGGAGGGGAUGGCGGAAUUCCCGGUGUAGAGGUGAAAUUCGUAGAUAUCGGGAGGAACACCUGUGGCGAAGGCGGCCACCUGGACAACUACUGACACUGAGACGCGAAAGCGUGGGGAGCAAACAGG
rnacentral:rRNA from 1 species